rnacentral:rRNA from 1 species
UACGUAGGGUGCAAGCGUUAAUCGGAAUUACUGGGCGUAAAGCGUGCGCAGGCGGUCUUGCAAGACAGAUGUGAAAUCCCCGGGCUCAACCUGGGAACUGCAUUUGUGACUGCAAGGCUGGAGUACGGUAGAGGGGGAUGGAAUUCCGCGUGUAGCAGUGAAAUGCGUAGAUAUGCGGAGGAACAUCGAUGGCGAAGGCAGCCCCUUGGACCUGUACUGACGCUCAUGCACGAAAGCGUGGGGAGCAAACAGG